GUAGGAUAUUCGCCAAAGAACACCAAGUGGCCGAAGNCGGCCUCACUGGCCCGGUACUGACGCUGAGGUGCGAAAGCGUGGGGGGAGCAAACAGGAUUAGAUACCCUGGUAGUCCACGCCGGUAAACGAUGGAUGCUAGCCGUUGGCAGGCUUGCCUGUCAGUGGCGCAGCUAACGCAUUAAGCAUCCCGCCUGGGGAGUACGGUCGCAAGAUUAAAACUCAAAGGAAUUGACGGGGGCCCGCACAAGCGGUGGAGCAUGUGGUUCAAUUCGAAGCAACGCGCAGAACCUUACCAACCUUUGACAUGUCCCGUAUGAGCAACAGAGAUGUAGCUCUUCAGUUCGGCUGGCGGGAACACAGGUGCUGCAUGGCUGUCGUCAGCUCGUGUCGUGAGAUGUUGGGUUAAGUCCCGCAACGAGCGCAACCCUCGCCCUUAGUUGCCAUCAUUCAGUUGGGCACUCUAAGGGGACUGCCGGUGAUAAGCCGUGAGGAAGGUGGGGAUGACGUCAAGUCCUCAUGGCCCUUACAGGUUGGGCUACACACGUGCUACAAUGGCGGUGACAGUGGGACGCAAUGGAGCAAUCCUGCGCAAAUCUCAAAAAGCCGUCUCAGUUCGGAUUGCACUCUGCAACUCGAGUGCAUGAAGUUGGAAUCGCUAGUAAUCGCAGAUCAGCACGCUGCGGUGAAUACGUUCCCGGGCCUUGUACACACCGCCCGUCACACCAUGGGAGUUGGUUUUACCUGAAGACGGUGCGCUAACCGCAAGGGGGCAGCCGGCCACGGUAGGAUCAGCGACUGGGGUGAAGUCGUAACAAGGUAGC
rnacentral:rRNA from 1 species